rnacentral:rRNA from 1 species
UACGGGGGGAGCAAGCGUUGUUCGGAUUUACUGGGCGUAAAGGGCGCGUAGGCGGCCACCGCAAGUCAGUUGUGAAAUCUCCGAGCUUAACUCGGAAAGGUCAACUGAUACUGCGGGGCUAGAGUGCGGAAGGGGCAACUGGAAUUCUUGGUGUAGCGGUGAAAUGCGUAGAUAUCGAGAGGAACACCUGCGGCGAAGGCGGGUUGCUGGGCUGACACUGACGCUGAGGCGCGAAAGUGUGGGGAUCAAACAGG